rnacentral:rRNA from 1 species
GUUGAAGGUUGGGUAACACUAACUGGAGGAACGAACCGACUAAUGUUGAAAAAUUAGCGGAUGACUGGUGGCUGGGGGUGAAAGGCCAAUCAAACCGGGAGAUAGCUGGUUCUCCCCGAAAGCUAUUUAGGUAGCGCCUCGUGAAUUCAUCUCCGGGGGUAGAGCACUGUUUCGGCAAGGGGGUCAUCCCGACUUACCAACCCGAUGCAAACUGCGAAUACCGGAGAAUGUUAUCACGGGAGACAAACGGCGGGUGCUAACG